rnacentral:rRNA from 1 species
AUGACAAGCACUUUGAAAAGAGGGUGAAAAGAGCCUGAAACCGUUACGGGGGAAGCGGAUUGCGUUGGAUUGAGCGUCAUGAUUAGUAUUCAGCCUUUUGGUGUAUUUAUUUUUCUGGACCAUCCGUCGUGGCUUUUCCUUGACUGAUUUUGAGUUGAGGGAGAGUGAGGGCUCCCCUUUAUGGGUGAGGACGACGGAGCGACGACGCGAUACGACCCGUCUUGAAACACGGACCAAGGAGUCUAGCACUACUGCGAGUCGAAGGGUGUUAAAACCUGUGGGCGCAGUGAAAGCGAACUGUAAAAACGAGCAGUUUGAGGCGGCAUAAAAUCGUUGAUUUUAGGUCCGACCUUGAGCAGUUGUGCUGGGACCCGAAAGAUGGUGAACUAUGCCUGAGUAGGGCAAAGCCAGAAGAAAUUCUGGUGGAGGCUCGUAGCGGUGCUGACGUGCAAAUCGCUCGUCGAACUUGGGUAUAGGGGCGAAAGACUCAUCGAACCAUCUAGUAGCUGGUUCCCUCCGAAGUUUCUCUCAGGAUAGCAGGUCGACUGACGUUGUUUUGUGC